rnacentral:rRNA from 1 species
GACGAACGCUGGCGGCGUGCCUAAUACAUGCAAGUCGAGCGGACUGAUUAAGAGCUUGCUCUUAUGACGUUAGCGGCGGACGGGUGAGUAACACGUGGGCAACCUGCCCUGUAGAUCGGGAUAACACCGAGAAAUCGGUGCUAAUACCGGGUAAUAUCUGAGAUCACAUGAUCUUAGGUUAAAAGAUGGCUCCGGCUAUCACUACAGGAUGGGCCCGCGGCGCAUUAGCUAGUUGGUAAGGUAAUGGCUUACCAAGGCGACGAUGCGUAGCCGACCUGAGAGGGGGACCGGCCACACUGGGAGUGAGACAAGGCCCAAAACCCUAGGGGGGGCAACAGGGGGGAAUCUUCCGAAAAGGACGAAAGGCGGAAGGAGAAACGCCGGGGGGGGGAUGAAGGGUUUCGGCUCGGAAAGCUCGGUUUUUAGGGAAAAAACAGAACCGAACGAAAGAGGGCGGUACCUUGACGGGACUAAACCAAAAAGCAACGGCAAAAUAGGG